AACGAACGCUGGCGGCAGGCCUAACACAUGCAAGUCGAACGCUGCAGCAAUGCAGAGUGGCAGACGGGUGAGUAACGCGUGGGAACCUUCCCAGUGGUACGGAAUAGCCCAGGGAAACUUGGGGUAAUACCGUAUAAGCCCCUAGGGGGAAAGAUUUAUCGCCAUUGGAUGGGCCCGCGUCGGAUUAGCUAGUUGGUGAGGUAACGGCUCACCAAGGCGACGAUCCGUAGCUGGUCUGAGAGGAUGAUCAGCCGCACUGGGACUGAGACACAGCCCAGACUCCUACGGGAGGCAGCAGUGGGGAAUAUUGGACAAUGGGCGCAAGCCUGAUCCAGCCAUGCCGCGUGAGUGACGAAGGCCUUAGGGUUGUAAAGCUCUUUUGGCGGGGACGAUAAUGACGGUACCCGCAGAAUAAGCUCCGGCUAACUUCGUGCCAGCCGCCGCAGUAA
rnacentral:rRNA from 1 species